rnacentral:rRNA from 1 species
AUAUCAAUAAGCGGAGGAAAAGAAACUAACAAGGAUUCCCCUAGUAACUGCGAGUGAAGCGGGAAAAGCUCAAAUUUAAAAUCUGGCAGGUCCUUGUGGCCUGUCCGAGUUGUAAUCUAGAGAAGUAUCUAUCCGCGCUGGACCGUGUACAAGUCUCCUGGAAUGGAGCGUCAUAGAGGGUGAGAAUCCCGUCUUUGACACGGACUGCCAGGGCUUAUGUGAUGUGCUCUCAAAGAGUCGAGUUGUUUGGGAAUGCAGCUCUAAAUGGGUGGUAAAUUCCAUCUAAAGCUAAAUAUUGGCGAGAGACCGAUAGCGAACAAGUACCGUGAGGGAAAGAUGAAAAGAACUUUGGAAAGAGAGUUAAACAGUAC